rnacentral:rRNA from 1 species
GAUGAACGCUGGCGGCGUGCCUAAUACAUGCAAGUCGAACGAGGUGCUUUUGUAGCAAUACGAGAGUAUCCUAGUGGCGAACGGGUGAGUAACGCGUUGGUGACCUGCCCCAAAGUGUGGAAUAACAGACCGAAAGGAUUGCUAAUACCGCAUGUGGUCAUCGGGUUUAGAAACCGGUGACUAAAGGAGUAAUCCGCUUUGGGAGGGGCCUGCGUCCCAUCAGCUAGGUGGUAGGGUAACGGCCUACCAAGGCGACGACGGGUAGGGGACCUGUAAGAGUGGCCCCCCACAAUGGAGCUGAAACACGGUCCAUACACCUACGUGUGGCAGCAGUAGUGAAUAUUGCUCAAUGGGCGAAAGCCUGAAGCAGCAACGCCGGGUGUGCGAUGAAGGUCUUCGAAUCGUAAAGCACUUUUCUGCGAGAUGAGAAAGGACAGUAUCGUAGGAAUAAGUCUCGGCUAACUACGUGCCAGCCGCCGCCGUAACAC